AAGGGAGACCUAAUUCAGGUAUAAGACGAAAAAAAAGUAGUCCCUACCAAGAAUCAAUCCCAAAAGGUCGGAACGAGGUAUGAGGCUUUCAAACUAGGUUCUGGGUUCAUAAAAGACCUGAAUCAGGAACAAGGGCUAUUAGCUCAGGUGGUUAGAGCGCACCCCUGAUAAGGGUGAGGUCCCUGGUUCGAGUCCAGGAUGGCCCACCUGCACAGGUGGCAAAAACAAGAGAAGCGAGGAAUCAGCACCUUAUCUUAUAUACAUAUAUAAGAGAGAAUGCUGGCUCUGAGUACAGAGUCCAGAGGAACCUUGAAAACUGCAUAGAGCUAGGUGAAAAAGCCAAAAGAGAAGACCGCAA
rnacentral:tRNA from 1 species